rnacentral:rRNA from 1 species
GACGAGAAGCUUGCUUCUCUGAUUUAGCGGCGGACGGGUGAGUAACACGUGGGCAACCUGCCCUACAGAUCGGGAUAACUCAGGGAAACCUGGGCUAAUACCGGAUAAUCCUUCGAAUCACAUGUUUUGAAGUUGAAAGGCGCUUCGGCGUCACUGUAGGAUGGGCCCGCGGUGCAUUAGCUAGUUGGUGGGGUAACGGCCUACCAAGGCAACGAUGCAUAGCCGACCUGAGAGGGUGAUCGGCCACAUUGGGACUGAGACACGGCCCAAACUCCUACGGGAGGCAGCAGUAGGGAAUCUUCCACAAUGGACGAAAGUCUGAUGGAGCAACGCCGCGUGAGUGAUGAAGGUUUUCGGAUCGUAAAACUCUGUUGUAAGGGAAGAACAAGUACGUUAGGAAAUGAACGUACCUUGACGGUACCUUAUUAGAAAGCCACGGCUAACUACGUGCCAGCAGCCG